AUGUUCCUUUGUCUUUCUUGUAUAAUCCUGAUGAAUAAUAACUAUAACUUGGUUAUGUUACAUGUAUAUUUGCAAACGAUAAAUGAACUAUUUGAGACGAUUUUUUGGAGAUCCGAAAAAAUGACAGUUUUUGAUGCGGAAUGUUGUAUCGAGGGUAUUGUCAAGGUCAAUAUCAGUAGCAGAAACCACACUUUUUGCAG